rnacentral:rRNA from 1 species
AUUGAACGCUGGCGGCAGGCCUAACACAUGCAAGUCGAACGAGUGGCGGACGGGUGAGUAAUGUCUGGGAAACUGCCUGAUGGAGGGGGAUAACUACUGGAAACGGUAGCUAAUACCGCAUACCAUCGGAUGUGCCCAGAUGGGAUUAGCUAGUAGGUGGGGUAAAGGCUCACCUAGGCGACGAUCCCUAGCUGGUCUGAGAGGAUGACCAGCCACACGGGAACUGAGACACGGGCCAGAAUCCUAUGGUAGGCAGCAGAGGGGAGUAUGGCACAAUGGGCGGAAGCCUGAUGCAGACAUGCCACGUGUAUGAAGAAGGCCCUGGGGUUGUAGAGUACUUUCAGUCGGGAGGCGGUACCGACAGAAGAAGCACCGGCUAACUCCGUGCCAGCAGCCGCGGUAAUAC